UUUUGGUAUUUAUAUUCUGAAAUUAUAUUCAAGAUUAUAUUGAAAAAUUGUGGGUUGUCAAAGUUAGGAGCAUAGAUAUUUACCUUAGUGAGUGGGGUAGAGUAUAUCUCCC